GUUGAUGAAGACUAAACAGAGAGAUCACAGCUUCUUUCUACUUGCUGUAGCUCACAGUUACUCUACACUGCAGAUAUGACGCCUCUGUUCAUCUCAGUGCUGCUGGCUGCUGUGUGCCUUGAAUGCAGAGCACAAAAAGACAACGUGCUGCAACCAAAAGGAGACGAGACUGCUGCUGAAGGAGACACAGUAACACUUGACUGUCUGUAUAACACCAGUGGAGAUAAUCAUCAUCUCUUCUGGUACAAACAGGAUGGGCAUAAAAGCCCCAAAUUCAUCCUGAGCCGCUUUAGGAUUGGUGAGGGGAAAACAGAGGUUGAGGAGAGAUUUUCAUCCACACUGGAUUCUACCUCAAGAUCAGUUCCUCUGAAGAUCCAGAAGCUUCAGCUGUCUGACUCUGCUGUGUACUACUGUGCUCUG